GACGAAGGGGGCUAGCGUUGUUCGGAAUUACUGGGCGUAAAGCGCGUGUAGGCGAUUAUCCAAGUCGGGCGUGAAAGCCUUGAGCUCAACUCAAGAAAUGCACUCGGUACUGGGUGACUAGAGGACCGGAGAGGAUAGUGGAAUUCCCAGUGUAGUGGUGAAAUACGUAGAGAUUGGGAAGAACACCAGUGGCGAAGGCGGCUAUCUGGACGGUUUCUGACGCUAAGACGCGAAAGCGUGGGGAGCAAACAGG
rnacentral:rRNA from 1 species